rnacentral:tRNA from 1 species
UAUAAGAUGCCUGAUUUAAAAGGAUAAUUUUGAUAGAAUUAAACAUGUGAAUAUUCACUCUUAUAAUCUAA